UACAGAGGUCUCAAGCGUUGUUCGGAUUCAUUGGGCGUAAAGGGUGCGUAGGUGGCCAGGUAAGUCGGAUGUGAAAUCCCGGGGCUCAACCCCGGAACUGCACUCGAUACUGCUUGGCUGGAGUACUGGAGAGGAGAUUGGAAUUUACGGUGUAGCAGUGAAAUGCGUAGAUAUCGUAAGGAAGACCAGUGGCGAAGGCGGAUCUCUGGACAGUUACUGACGCUGAUGCGCGAAAGCCAGGGGAGCGAACGGG
rnacentral:rRNA from 1 species